GGCCACAUCGGGUUGAAACACUGGUUCCCGUACGAUCACCGAAGUUAACCAAUAUCGUUCUUGGUCGGUACCGAGAAGGAUGACCGCUUGGGAAUGCCAGGUGCUAUA